GAUUACCUGAGAUGUUCGCCAAAGGGUUACGUCCCUGAGCCGAUACUUAUAUACUUCGAGUUGGUUCUCUAUGUUGUUGGUGUGCAAGCUUAGUAUGCUCUUGUAGCUGAGCGAUAAGACAUAAUUAAGAAGCCUAAAAAUGACUAUAACUAACUCCCUUGAACCGUCGGGUUCAAGGACCGACCACCCGCAACGGCAUCUCGGGGCUUUU
rnacentral:other from 1 species